rnacentral:rRNA from 1 species
GAUGAACGCUAGCGGCAGGCCUAACACAUGCAAGUCGAGGGGUAGGACAUUUCGGUGUCUGAGACCGGCGCACGGGUGCGUAACGCGUAUGCAAUCUGCCUUAUACUAAGGGAUAGCCCAGAGAAAUUUGGAUUAAUACCUUAUAGUAUAUAGAUGUGGCAUCACAUUUAUAUUAAAGAUUUAUCGGUAUAAGAUGAGCAUGCGUCCCAUUAGCUAGUUGGUAUGGUAACGGCAUACCAAGGCAAUGAUGGGUAGGGGUCCUGAGAGGGAGAUCCCCCACACUGGUACUGAGACACGGACCAGACUCCUACGGGAGGCAGCAGUGAGGAAUAUUGGUCAAUGGGCGCAAGCCUGAACCAGCCAUGCCGCGUGCAGGAUGACGGUCCUAUGGAUUGUAAAACUGCUUUUGUACGGGAAGAAACAACUCUUCGUGAAGAGUCUUGACGGUACCGUAAGAAUAAGGAUCGGCUAACUCCGUGCCAGCAGCCGCGGUAAUACGGAGGAUCCAAGCGUUUAUCCGGAAUCAUUGGGUUUAAAAGGGUCCGUAGGCGGUUUUUAUAAGUUCAGUGGUGAAAAUCCGGACNGCUCAAACCUGUCGAACUGCCAUUGAUACUGUAGAACUUGAAUUACUGUGAAGUAACUAGAAUAUGUAGUGUAGCGGUGAAAUGCUUAGAUAUUACAUGGAAUACCAAUUGCGAAGGCAGGUUACUAACAUUAUAUUGACGCUGAUGGACGAAAGCGUGGGGAGCGAACAGGAUUAGAUACCCUGGUA